CUGCUCGCUUCGGCAGCACAUGUACUAAAAUUGGAACGAUCCAGAGAAGAUUGGCAUGGCCCCUGUGCCAGGACGACAUGCAAAUUAGUGAAGUGUUCCAUAUUAUG